rnacentral:ncRNA from 1 species
CAUGUGGUUUAAUUCGAUACAACACGCAAAACCUUACCAGCCCUUGACAUAUGAACAACAAAUCAUAUCCUUAACAGGAUGGUACUGACUUUCAUACAGGUGCUGCAUGGCUUUCGUCAGCUCGUGUCGUGAGAUGUUUGGUCAAGUCCUAUAACGAGCGAAACCCUCGUUUUGUGUUGCUGAGACAUGCGCCUAAGGAGAAAUUGCCACCGAGUGACGUGCUAGCGCUGUUUUUCUCGCUUUUGGCGUAGCAGGCCUCCCUUUGGGAGGCCCGCGCG